ensembl:lncRNA novel transcript
AAAGGGGAUGCAUGGGAGACCUUGCGGAUGUAGGAACUGCUCCUUUUGUUGCUGGAGUGGUGGAUGGGAGACUCUACACAUUGGCUCAGAUCCAUGGAACUGCACAGCCCUGAGACUGAACUUUCGUGUGUGCAAACUAAAAAAAUCAACCAGGAUGGAAAUAAAAACUCAUCAAACGUAUACAUGGGAUACUUACAUUUCAUUCCAGGUGGCUCCAGAGACGACAUCAAGCAAGUGUGUGGGAAGCCUAAGGUGGUGGGGAAGAUCUAUGGUGGCCGGGACGCAGCAGCUGGCCAGUGGCCAUGGCAGGCCAGCCUGCUCUACUGGGGCUCGCACCUCUGUGGAGCUGUCCUCAUCGACUCCUGCUGGCUGGUAUCAACUACCCACUGCUUUCUCAACAAAUCCCAGGCCCCGAAGAACUAUCAGGUUCUGUUGGGAAACAUCCAACUGUAUCAUCAAACCCAGCACACCCAGAAG